rfam:Schizophyllum commune H4-8 unplaced genomic scaffold SCHCOscaffold_2, whole genome shotgun sequence.
UGCCCCGUGGCCCAGAUGGUUAAGGCGUGUGACUGUUAAGUUUCGCUUGGCAAAUCACAAGAUCGAGAGUUCGAGCCUCUCCGGGGCAG